rnacentral:RNase_P_RNA from 1 species
GGGUGGGGUCUGAGCGAUCGCUCCUGGUACAACGUGCCAAGGGGAGGAAAGUCCGGACACCACAGGGCUUCAUGCCAUGUGAAAGCAUGGGCACCGGUAACGAAAGGCUCCGGUGACGGACAGUGUCGCAGAAAGAAUACCGCCACACCUUCGGGUGUGGUAAGGGUGAAAUGGCGAGGUAAGAGCUCACCGCUCCGACCGUAAGGAACGAGGCAUGACAAACCCCAUGAGGUGCAAGACAGAACAGAAGGAAGGAGUCGCCCGCUCCGCAGUCGGCCUCGUGCCGAUGGUAUCUUCGGGUAUUAGUCGCACCUCACCUCGGUGAGGUCUCGCUCUUGAGCGAGAAGACAAAUGAUCGCACGCUGACCUCUAGAAAUAGAGGCCAGUCGACAGAAUCCGGCUUAUGACGACCCCACCCCACU